ACUUUUCUCUGACCAUUCUUUUCCAAGAGGCCAUGAAGACCACUUAUUUCUGUCUACAUCUUCCUUCAGCCAAGCUAUAAAAGGACACACAGUAUAUCAAGUGACUUGAAAGAAGACAUCCUAGCUAUGGUGACUGGAGUCUGGUCACCAUCCAUUCAAAGCCUUAGAUGACCUGGAAGUCGUACGUGGACCAGACUGGCCUCAAACUCAUGGAGAUGUGCUACAUCUAUCUACCAAGUUCCGGGGUCAAAGGCACUUCAAGCUAUUGUACAAAGUGUGACUUCCUGAAACCACCAUGCGAAGGAUACCAUAUGAGGCACUUCAGUUGACGGUUCCAGCCUUCUAAAUACUCCUCCAACGUUACAGAGACAAAAGUGAUGCCAUCUUAGAUCAGCCCUUUUACCAGCUGGACAUCACAGGUAGCCUGGCCAAUAGCUUCUUGAGAAGAAUUCACUCAGUUCACAUCCGGGAGACAACUGUGUUACACUACUAUUUUGACCUAUGGCCUCAAUAGAAACCAUUGGUGACAUAUUAAAAAUGGCAGAAUUGAUAGAUGCUUGUGUCUCAAUUGGGUAGUCCCAGAAAGCCACUAUACCAACCUUAGAAUCACUUAUCAUUUGACCUUCUACUCAGUGAUAUAGUAAAAGUCUGUAUUGUCUAAGCCACUUUUGGUUAAAUGUUCUGUUAUUUGUGGCUUUUCAGCAUUCCAACAAAUACAAUCAACUGCCAUUUUAUCUCUCAAGAGGUCUUUGUCACGGGGACAAGAGGGUGUAGGUGGGUUUAAGGCCACACUCUGACUUCUUUGAUGAAGUUACCAGCAGAGAAUGGUGUAAAGCCUCAUCCACCCUGGCCACCAUCAUCAGGCAGCCCUCUGAUGUUCCCCUACAAUUUGACACAGUCUCUAGUUACUCUAGCCUGAUGGUUAACAGAGCAGGGGGUUUCCUUGGUAUAUCUCAUCUGACUUCCCUUUUUCUCCCUACUAUAUAGGAGGCCAGCAUGGUCCUCAGGAUGACUAAAAUGAUUAAAUGACAAUUUCAAGUGUAGGGAAAUCUCUGGUAGCCCACAAGGGGUUUUCUUUCACCUUUAAUGGCUUUGAAAACAGAAGCACCCACAGACAGCCUCUGAGCUCCACAAUAGAGGCACCAUCCCCCAUUCUAGCAAUGAUCUGGCUGUGGAGUGAACCACCUGCCCAGGCAGGCCAGAUUUCUGUUCUGAAGGAUUAGCUUUUCUAGGGUCAAAGAGCAGGGGAAGGUCUGCUUUACAUCUGUGACUCUUACAUGGAUAACAAGGGAUUCUUCAACUGCUUUCCCAUUGCAAGAUUUGGUCUGCCUAGGGAUGGGGCCCUAUGGGUGGAGAACUGAACCUGAGAGUUUUCUACCAAGAUAAGAUGGAAGAAAGAGCAAACAAACAAACAAAUCAACAAACAAAAACCCAAUCAUGGUAGGGAUUAAAGCAUCAUCAUCAUCAUCAUCAUCAUCAUCAACAACAACAACAAUAACAAGAACCCAUGGAAAAGACCAACACUGUGAAGCCACACAUCCAGCUAAAAAGUCAGAGGCAUUUCCUAAAGAAGAACGUGGAGACAGAUACAAUGAAGGGUAGGAAAGAAACCACAACACAAGUUGGCAAUAGUAUGCUUUGUGCUUGUGUGUACACAUGGUGGAUAGCCUACAGCAGCUGACGUCUGAGGGCCUAGAACACUGGUGUAGCUGGUUCAACUGAACAUCUGAGGGAAGGUGUCUUCAGUUAUAGCCAGAUACAGCCCAAUGCACCUUGCUCAGGAAAACAGUGUUCAUGCAAUGGAUACAGGGUUGGCCUAGUAACUAAUUAUAGUAUUUAUUUCAAUAUUUCUUAUAUGAUAGCUAGUCAAUUACUUGGCUAUUUCCCCAUCUGGAUUAAAAGGCCUCUGAGGAUAGAUUGUUUCUUAUUCUUUCAUAGAAUAUGCCAGAAUGUUUUGUACAUGCAAAAACACUCAAUAAACAUAUUUUGAUUAAUA